GCCUUCGUGGUGUAGUGGUUAGCACUCUCGACGCGUAUUCGAGAGAUCUGUGGUUCGAAUCCACGCGAGGGCA